GGGUUGUGAGGUUAAGCGACUAAGCGUACACGGUGGAUGCCCUGGCAGUCAGAGGCGAUGAAGGACGUGCUAAUCUGCGAAAAGCGUCGGUAAGGUGAUAUGAACCGUUACAGCCGGCGAUGUCCGAAUGGGGAAACCCAGUGUGAUUCGUCACACUAUCGUUAACUGAAUACAUAGGUUAACGAGGCGAACCGGGGGAACUGAAACAUCUAAGUACCCCGAGGAAAAGAAAUCAACCGAGAUUCCCCCAGUAGCGGCGAGCGAACGGGGAGCAGCCCAGAGUCUGAAUCAGCUUGUGUGUUAGUGGAACGGUCUGGAAAGUCCGACGGUACAGGGUGAUAGUCCCGUACACCAAAAUGCACAGGCUGUGAACUCGAAGAGUAGGGCGGGACACGUGGUAUCCUGUCUGAAUAUGGGGGGACCAUCCUCCAAGGCUAAAUACUCCUGACUGACCGAUAGUGAACCAGUACCGUGAGGGAAAGGCGAAAAGAACCCCGGCGAGGGGAGUGAAAAAGAACCUGAAACCGUGUACGUACAAGCAGUGGGAGCACCUUCGGGUGUGACUGCGUACCUUUUGUAUAAUGGGUCAGCGACUUAUAUUCUGUAGCAAGGUUAACCGUAUAGGGGAGCCGCAGGGAAACCGAGUCUUAACUGGGCGUUAAGUUGCAGGGUAUAGACCCGAAACCCGGUGAUCUAGCCAUGGGCAGGUUGAAGGUUGGGUAACACUAACUGGAGGACCGAACCGACUAAUGUUGAAAAAUUAGCGGAUGACUUGUGGCUGGGGGUGAAAGGCCAAUCAAACCGGGAGAUAGCUGGUUCUCCCCGAAAGCUAUUUAGGUAGCGCCUCGUGAACUCAUCUUCGGGGGUAGAGCACUGUUUCGGCUAGGGGGUCAUCCCGACUUACCAACCCGAUGCAAACUACGAAUACCGAAGAAUGUUAUCACGGGAGACACACGGCGGGUGCUAACGUCCGUCGUGAAGAGGGAAACAACCCAGACCGCCAGCUAAGGUCCCAAAGUCAUGGUUAAGUGGGAAACGAUGUGGGAAGGCACAGACAGCCAGGAUGUUGGCUUAGAAGCAGCCAUCAUUUAAAGAAAGCGUAAUAGCUCACUGGUCGAGUCGGCCUGCGCGGAAGAUGUAACGGGGCUAAACCAUGCACCGAAGCUGCGGCAGCGACACUAUGUGUUGUUGGGUAGGGGAGCGUUCUGUAAGCCUGCGAAGGUGUGCUGUGAGGCAUGCUGGAGGUAUCAGAAGUGCGAAUGCUGACAUAAGUAACGAUAAAGCGGGUGAAAAGCCCGCUCGCCGGAAGACCAAGGGUUCCUGUCCAACGUUAAUCGGGGCAGGGUGAGUCGACCCCUAAGGCGAGGCCGAAAGGCGUAGUCGAUGGGAAACAGGUUAAUAUUCCUGUACUUGGUGUUACUGCGAAGGGGGGACGGAGAAGGCUAUGUUAGCCGGGCGACGGUUGUCCCGGUUUAAGCAUGUAGGCUGGUUAUCCAGGCAAAUCCGGAUAAUCAAGGCUGAGGUGUGAUGACGAGGCACUACGGUGCUGAAGUAACAAAUGCCCUGCUUCCAGGAAAAGCCUCUAAGCAUCAGGUAACAUCAAAUCGUACCCCAAACCGACACAGGUGGUCAGGUAGAGAAUACCAAGGCGCUUGAGAGAACUCGGGUGAAGGAACUAGGCAAAAUGGUGCCGUAACUUCGGGAGAAGGCACGCUGGUGUGUAGGUGAAGCCCCUGCGGGUGGAGCUGAGACCAGUCGAAGAUACCAGCUGGCUGCAACUGUUUAUUAAAAACACAGCACUGUGCAAACACGAAAGUGGACGUAUACGGUGUGACGCCUGCCCGGUGCCGGAAGGUUAAUUGAUGGGGUUAUCCGUAAGGAGAAGCUCUUGAUCGAAGCCCCGGUAAACGGCGGCCGUAACUAUAACGGUCCUAAGGUAGCGAAAUUCCUUGUCGGGUAAGUUCCGACCUGCACGAAUGGCGUAAUGAUGGCCAGGCUGUCUCCACCCGAGACUCAGUGAAAUUGAACUCGCUGUGAAGAUGCAGUGUACCCGCGGCAAGACGGAAAGACCCCGUGAACCUUUACUAUAGCUUGACACUGAACAUUGAGCCUUGAUGUGUAGGAUAGGUGGGAGGCUUUGAAGCGUGGACGCCAGUCUGCGUGGAGCCAACCUUGAAAUACCACCCUUUAAUGUUUGAUGUUCUAACGUUGGCCCCUUACCGGGGUUGCGGACAGUGUCUGGUGGGUAGUUUGACUGGGGCGGUCUCCUCCCAAAGCGUAACGGAGGAGCACGAAGGUUAGCUAAUCCUGGUCGGACAUCAGGAGGUUAGUGCAAUGGCAUAAGCUAGCUUGACUGCGAGCGUGACGGCGCGAGCAGGUGCGAAAGCAGGUCAUAGUGAUCCGGUGGUUCUGAAUGGAAGGGCCAUCGCUCAACGGAUAAAAGGUACUCCGGGGAUAACAGGCUGAUACCGCCCAAGAGUUCAUAUCGACGGCGGUGUUUGGCACCUCGAUGUCGGCUCAUCACAUCCUGGGGCUGAAGUAGGUCCCAAGGGUAUGGCUGUUCGCCAUUUAAAGUGGUACGCGAGCUGGGUUUAGAACGUCGUGAGACAGUUCGGUCCCUAUCUGCCGUGGGCGCUGGAGAAUUGAGGGGGGCUGCUCCUAGUACGAGAGGACCGGAGUGGACGCAUCACUGGUGUUCGGGUUGUCAUGCCAAUGGCACUGCCCGGUAGCUAAAUGCGGAAGAGAUAAGUGCUGAAAGCAUCUAAGCACGAAACUUGCCCCGAGAUGAGUUCUCCCUGAGACUUUAAGUCUCCUGAAGGAACGUUGAAGACGACGACGUUGAUAGGCCGGGUGUGUAAGCGCAGCGAUGCGUUGAGCUAACCGGUACUAAUGAACCGUGAGGCUUAACCUUACAACGCCGAAG
rnacentral:rRNA from 1 species